AUUGAACGCUGGCGGCAUGCCUUACACAUGCAAGUCGAACGGUAACAGGUCUUCGGAUGCUGACGAGUGGCGAACGGGUGAGUAAUACAUCGGAACGUGCCCAGACGUGGGGGAUAACGAGGCGAAAGCUUUGCUAAUACCGCAUACGAUCUAAGGAUGAAAGCAGGGGACCGCAAGGCCUUGCGCGUUUGGAGCGGCCGAUGGCAGAUUAGGUAGUUGGUGGGAUAAAAGCUUACCAAGCCGACGACCUGUAGCUGGUCUGAGAGGACGACCAGCCACACUGGGACUGAGACACGGCCCAGACUCCUACGGGAGGCAGCAGUGGGGAAUUUUGGACAAUGGGCGAAAGCCUGAUCCAGCAAUGCCGCGUGCAGGAUGAAGGCCUUCGGGUUGUAAACUGCUUUUGUACGGAACGAAAAGGCUCUGGCUAAUACCUGGGGCACAUGACGGUACCGUAAGAAUAAGCACCGGCUAACUACGUG
rnacentral:rRNA from 1 species